GACGUAGGGCGCGAGCGUUGUCCGGAUUUAUUGGGCGUAAAGAGCUCGUAGGCGGCUUGUCGCGUCGACCGUGAAAACUUGGGGCUCAACCCCAAGCCUGCGGUCGAUACGGGCAGGCUCGAGUUCGGUAGGGGAGACUGGAAUUCCUGGUGUAGCGGUGAAAUGCGCAGAUAUCAGGAGGAACACCGGUGGCGAAGGCGGGUCUCUGGGCCGAUACUGACGCUGAGUGAGCGAAAGCCAGGGGAGCAAACGGG
rnacentral:rRNA from 1 species